GUCCACUAUUAUCUGCAGUCGCACAUUCAAAUCAAUGAAUUCUACCGAGGAGUUCGUGAUUCGCAGCUGAUCGGAUUAUCCGGUUACACAAAAGAGGGCCUUCUGGUUUUUGCUAUCGGUGUAGGCCUCAGCACAUUUGACAAAGCAUCCGUAAGACUUCGUUAUACUGAAUUGUGAUCGUGUGAUUCUGGUGCAGUCGCACAUUCGAUGAGCCACGUGCAGAGAACCUAAAGAUUGCAGCUUAUAGAACUCUUCUUGGACAUACUGCUUCUGUGCAAAGUGUUGCAGCACAGCCUACUGCGAAUAUGGUGUGUUCUGGUUCUUGGGAUU